ACGUUAGUCUGUAUUUUUGGCUAAUAUAACAUAAAUUUUUCAGUUUAUUUGUACCAGUUUUAAUCCAAAUUUCAUGAUCAUUUGUUUGGAAAAAAAAUUGAUGGAGUAAAUGAAUUCUUUUUUGAAAAGAACAAUAAAAUAAAGAAUAUGAAAAUAAAUGUUGACUCUUUGUUUAAUUCUCAAAAUAAUGGGGUAAUCACAAAACAACUUGUAUUUAUCUCAAUGAAGUGUUACGAAACAUCUUGUACUUAUAUCAAUGAAGUGUUACAAAACAACUUGUAUUUAUCUCAAUGAAGUGUUACAAAACAUCUCGUAUUUAUCUCAAUGAAGUGUUACAAAACAACUUGUAUUUAUCUCAAUGAAGUGUUACAAAACAUCUUGUAUUUAUGUCAAUGAAUUGCUUUACACUUAUUCUUGAUGUGCUAUAAUAUUGUGUUCAUGUUUAGUUGUUAGGUUUUGUUGUUCUCAUUAUGGGGCAAACACACGAAACCAUUAUAAAUUAUUCCAUGUGUUUUGCGAUUUUUUUCUUGUGGAUUUUUUUUUACAUUUUGAACACAUUCCUGUUUUUUGCGUUCAAUCAUAUGGAAAAUAUCAGAAAGAACAUGUGGAAGUACUGUUCAGAGAUUUUAAUUGAUCAUUGUUAUCUAGUGUCAUACAAGACAAUGAAAUAUUUCGCUACAGUGAAAUAGAAAGAUGUUGUUGAGCCUUCAUGUGGGAAUAAGUUUAAUGUUUAUGUUAUGUUCUUGUCUGAUUUAUUUAUGUAAUUACCUUGCCAUAGCAACUGUGUUUUUAAUUUGUUAUUAUUUUACAAGAUUCUGAGGUUUUGUGGAGCAUUAUGACAUGUGCCAUGAGUCAAUUAAAUGCAUUUGUUGAAAAAAUAUAUGAUCAGAUAUUAUAUACACUAUCUUGGUAGCUUAGCGGAUUAAAAUUUACAUUGAAAUGCGUGGUUUAGAUACUAAGCAAGUGGGCAUCAAAUAAAAGUUGUGCAUUUAUUUGUUACUUUUUUGGUCAGUUUUCAUAUUUACCUUUCAAACUAUUGCUCAUUCAAAUAAUAAUUGUAGAAAUAUUUGACUUGCAUUCUGUGAUAACUUGCCUUUAUGCAUGUGCGUAGUGUCGUCCCAGAUUAGCCUGUGCAGUUCAUACAGGCUAAUUAGGGAUGAACAUUUUUGCUCUUAAAUCAAUUUUUGUUUAGCAGAGACUUGCUUCAAACAAAAAAUUACACAAAAACCUAAAGUGUUGCCCUGAUUAGCCUAUGUGGACUGCACAUGGUAAUCUGGUACGACUUUACGCUCAUGCAUUAAGCCCAGUUUUGCCAGAGCACUGCCUAUAAAGUUGACUAAGCUAGUAAGUAGAAGUGUUGUUCCCACAACAAAGUUUACACUAAUAUACAAAUACAUGUGUGCAUUGAGUUCAUUCAAGAAUAUGUACCUACAGUGUACAUGUUAAUCAAACCUUUGUUUUAUCUAAAUUAGUAUUUGAAAUAAGUGUUUCGAAUAAAUUUCAGUUUGAAAAAGUGAGUGUUGUAGUUAUGGCAUUAUUUUGUUUCAUUUAUUUUCUGUGAUAUUAUUGUCUGUGUUAUAUUUAUUUACCUUUUUUGUAUUUUCCCCUUUGUUACAGAAGGCUAAUCAGUGUAGAUAAUUUUGAGGUUUUCAAGUUGUCCUAUUUAUAGAAGUAAAAUCAGAUCUUGCUAGCAGUGAUACAAGACACAUGUUGUUUGCAUUUGCCUUUUUCUGUUUAAUAAUAAAAUGGUAGCUGAAUUGUCAUGUAUAAAAAUCCAUUUUUUUUUUGUCAGAAAACAUUUGUCUCAAUUUAUGAGCAGUUUUAAUCAAACUCAUAUUUGCUUAAAAUUGAUAUAAUUUUUCUUCUCAUUAACUUCAAGGCAAAAUUCCUUAAACCAAUUUCUUGAUUUAUUAUGCCCCCCUUCGAAGAAGAGAGGGUAUAUUGUUUUGCACAUGUCGGUCAGUCGGUCGGUGGGUCGGUCCGUCCACCAGAUGGUUUCCCGAUGAUAACUCAAGAACACUGAUCAUGAAACUUCAUAGGUAUAUUGAUCAUGACUGGCAGAUGACCCCUAUUGAUUUUCAGGUCACUAGGUCAAAGGUCAAGGUCACAGUGACUCGAAAUAGUAAAAUGGUUUCCGGAUGAUAACUCAAGAAUGCUUACGCCUAGGAUCAUGAAACUUCAUUGGUACAUUGAUCAUGACUGGUAGAUGACCCCUAUUAAUUUUCAGGUCACUAGGUCAAAGGUCAAGGUCACAGUGACUCAAAACAGUAAAAUGGUUUUCCUGAUGAUAACUCAAGAAUAAUUAGGCCUAGGAUCAUGAAACUUCAUAGGUACAUUGAUCAUUUUUGCAGAUGACCCCUAUCGAUUUUUAGGUCGCUAGGUCAAAGGUCAAGGUCACAGUGACAAAAACGUAUUCCCACUACAACUGACAGCCCAUAUGGGGGGGCAUGCAUGUUUUACAAACAGCCCUUGUUUUAUUUAAUUUGAAAUCAAUUGUUUUGAAUCUAGCAUAAUUACCAAUAACAAACAUUUUAUAUUUGUUUAUCUUCACCAUGUAACUCAGUAUUGUAUCUCUUCAGUUUGAAGUGUUUUUACCAUUUACUUGAAUAAUAAACACUUUGUAAUUA